UUCCUUGUGGUCCAGUGGCUAAGACACUGCACUCUCAAUGCAGGGGGCAUGGGUUUGAUCUCUGGUCAGGGAAC
rfam:TPA: Bos taurus chromosome 16, whole genome shotgun sequence.